rnacentral:rRNA from 1 species
AUUGAACGCUGGCGGCAUGCCUUACACAUGCAAGUCGAACGGCAGCGCGGGGGCAACCCUGGCGGCGAGUGGCGAACGGGUGAGUAAUACAUCGGAACGUGUCCAGUCGUGGGGGAUAACCAGUCGAAAGACUGGCUAAUACCGCAUGCGCCCGAAAGGGGAAAGCGGGGGACCGCAAGGCCUCGCGCGAUUGGAGCGGCCGAUGUCCGAUUAGCUAGUUGGUGGGGUAAAAGCCUACCAAGGCGACGAUCGGUAGCUGGUCUGAGAGGACGACCAGCCACACUGGGACUGAGACACGGCCCAGACUCCUACGGGAGGCAGCAGUGGGGAAUUUUGGACAAUGGGGGCAACCCUGAUCCAGCCAUGCCGCGUGUGUGAAGAAGGCC